AACUAAGUAGCUCAUAUUUUAGAGCAUUGCAUUGAAGCUGCAAAAGAGCUAAUAUCUAGCCGUAGUUA
rnacentral:tRNA from 1 species